UGGAUGUCUAACACAUAUGAGGAAAUUACU
rnacentral:piRNA from 1 species